rnacentral:rRNA from 1 species
GAUGAACGCUGGCGGCGUGCCUAAUACAUGCAAGUCGAGCGAAGCGGGGACGGGUGAGUAACACGUGGAUCACCUCCUAUAAGACUGGGAUAACUUCGGGAAACCUGAGCUAAACCUGAUACUUAUAGAUGGCUCCGCGCUGCAUUAGCUAGUUGGUAAGGGAACGGCUUACCAUGGCAACGAUUCAUAGCCGACCUGAGAUGGUGAUAGGCCACACUGGAAGUGAGACACGGUCCAGACGACGACGGGUGGCAGCAUGAGUGAUUCUGCCGCAAUGGGGGAAAGCCUGACGGGGCAACGCCGCGUGGGUUAUGAAGUUCUUCUGUUCGUAAAACUCUGUUAGUAGGGAAGCGGUACCUAAGCAGAAAGCCACGGAUAACUACGUGCCAGCAGCCGCGGUAAUUC